AACGCAUAUUGCACUCCUUUGGAGUAUGCCUGUUUGAGAAUCUAUAGUAUUCUUUUUUCAUACUUGGGUUCGCUCGGUAUGAAGAGAUAUGAGGAGUCCGCUACUUGUAGCGGUGCCUUUAAAUAGAUUGUCUGUCUACCUGCAGAAUGCUUGAAGCUUCUUGGUGCAGAAACGUAUGUGAAUGAACGUUAGUUCUCAUAAUGCCUAUUACGCAUGCUGAAGUCUAGUUUUGUAGUUAGGGGGAUCCCCUAGUAAAGAGUUUGGGUAACCUAGCUCUUGAACCAUGGUCUCAAAUCAGGUAGGAAGACCCGCUGAACUUAA
rnacentral:misc_RNA from 1 species